rnacentral:rRNA from 1 species
UACAGAGGGGGCAAGCGUUGUCCGGACUGACUGGGCGUAAAGCGCGCGCAGGCGGUCGCGAGCGUCGGUGCUGAAAGGGCGCCGCUUAACGGCGCGAAGGGUGCCGAUACGCCGCGACUGGAGCGAUGGCGAGGGUGGUGGAAUUGCCGGUGUAGUGGUGAAAUGCGUAGAGAUCGGCAGGAACACCCGUGGCGCAAGCGGCCACCUAGCCGUCGGCUGACGCUGAGGCGCGACAGCGUGGGGAGCGAACCGG